ensembl:piRNA 21ur-2539 ncRNA
UCAUACGAUGGAACUGAGAUA